rnacentral:rRNA from 1 species
UUUAAUGAGAGUUUGAUCCUGGCUCAGGACGAACGCUGGCGGCGUGCCUAAUACAUGCAAGUAGAACGCUGAAGGAGGAGCUUGCUUCUCUGGAUGAGUUGCGAACGGGUGAGUAACGCGUAGGUAACCUGCCUGGUAGCGGGGGAUAACUAUUGGAAACGAUAGCUAAUACCGCAUAAAAUUGAUUAUUGCAUGAUAAUUGAUUGAAAGAUGCAAUUGCAUCACUACCAGAU